rnacentral:lncRNA from 1 species
GGGGUUUAGGUUAGUUUUUAUGCCCCUUAUGCAUGUUGGAGUGAGUAUGCAUGUUUUAGGAAGUUGGGUGUGAGGAUUUGAGAGUUUGGGGUUGAAAUGCAUGUGGCAGAAUCGGGUUCUGCCAUUCUGGCGAACCCAGGUUCGGCCGCCGAACUUGCAUGGGAGGCAGCCUUUUGGCCGCCUAACAUGCCCCCGAAAGCAUGC